rnacentral:pre_miRNA from 1 species
ACGCUUCAUCUGCAUGCUGAUAUGUAAAUGUUGAGAUUCAAUGACUAUCAGCUGCCCGGUGAAGUGUAU